rnacentral:rRNA from 1 species
UACGUAGGGGGCUAGCGUUGUCCGGAUUUAUUGGGCGUAAAGAGCGUGUAGGCGGCCAGGUAGGUCCGGUGUGAAAACUCGAGGCUUAACCUCGAGAUGUCAUCGGAAACCAUCUGGCUAGAGUCCGGAAGAGGAAAGUGGAAUUCCUGGUGUAGCGGUGAAAUGCGCAGAUAUCAGGAAGAACACCAAUGGCGAAAGCAGCUCUCUGGGACGGUACUGACGCUGAGACGCGAAAGCGUGGGGAGCGAACAGG